rnacentral:lncRNA from 1 species
ACGUUUUACAAGGUAUAGCGGCAGCAGUGACAGCCUGCCUUUACGGACAAGAGGAACGACGUUGUGCAGACGGGACGGGGUGUGACCACCGGAUAUGUACAAGUAGCCGUGCAGAAGAAAGCUCUGCAGCAAAGCAUGGUAUGCUUGCAGGGCAACCGGUUAUAUGGAUCUGGAAGCCAUAUUCACGCAAGGCUGAUAUGUCAAGCAAACCAAAAGUAAAGCAGCUUGGCCAAGUGGCUAUCAGGAGCUGAGGUGCGGCGCCGCGUUGGGGGGCAUCUGCGCUGGGAUUCAUCGCCAGGCCUAGCUCUGAACGCCAAAACGCAUCUGUUUUUUUGUUCCCUGCGUGAUGUAACGCUCCGCUUCACGAGGUCACAUGUGUUUUCAUUGCUAUUUGCUAUCUGCUACCCAGGCAGGCAAUUACCCAUUUGUGCAUGAGCGCGUUGCGAAUCACACCUGGGACACAUUCUCGGCUUUCGAGAGCUGGCCUUUGCGUGGCAGGCCGUGGCCUUCGCAUUUUGGAGUUGUACGGAGUUUUUAUUCGGCAGUCGUACCUGCAUAUCGUUUGCUUGAGAGCUGCUUAAUGAAAAGCCUGUAAAUAGCACCCGAAUGUUUGAGUCGGGCAAAAAUACCUAGCUACGCUAGUGAACUCUUUCGUACAAAUUAGUAUAAAAUGAUGACAAUUUUACUACGCAACGUGGCGAAUCGAAAGCCUCCUGGGAAG